UCUCGUCUCCCAGGCCGCCCCCCCCCCCCGCACCUCGGCUCCCAGGCCCGCAGGCCUUGGGCCGCUGCUGUUCUCGGCUUGGGAGGAUUUUAAGACGUUAACCCUUACUGCACCAAGCCGGCAAAGCACAAAACGGGGGCGGGGCUCCACACGCGUGCGUGUUUCUACACGCACUUCUCUCACGUGGAUCCGCUUUAAGGGGGCCGUGGGGGGCAAGCGGAAGUGCCCAAGAAAGCCCGGCCGGCACCCGAGGCGGCUCCUGGGUCCUUUGGGAGGGACGAGCGUUCGGGGCCCAAGGCGUGUGCGGGCGGACGGGCCCACACGUGUCCUACGAGCCCACAGCGCCCCGUGACCUGUUAAUGCGCACCCGUGGGCCCGGGCUCGCAGGGAUCGUGCUUGCGGACCCGCAUCCACACGUGUGGGUGCCCAGCGCGGCGCCCGCGCGCACGUGCCCGCUGACCCCAGAGCGCCCUCUCACACCGGACUUCCUCCCAGAGCCGAGGCGGGGCAGGGGCAGCAAGGAAGUCCCCACAGCGCCGGGAGGGGGGGGCGCAGGGACAGGUCCUCCAGGAAGGCUGGCCUUCCCCGCAGCGGUUAGUGUGGACUUUCCCCUCGCGAUUGCCGGGUCCUCCUGACCGGAUGGCAAAUCUGGGGAAAGGAGGGCGGCCUCGGAGACCCUCCCGCGCGCAGGAGAGCCUUGUUCCCUGCUGAAAAGUGCACCGGAGGGCGCCCCCCCCCGGGGGGAUAUGAAGGACCUGCCCCUCGCUGCGCCGGCUCACAGACCUCCAUGUGGCCUGUAGGGGGCCCCCUUCCCAGACUCAGGCCCCGGGCUCCCGCCAGUCUCCCGUCCCGCGCGCACCUCCUUGCCUUGGGGCUCAGCGCUCAGGCCCAGGGGGGGGCGCCUUGGCUGCCGGGCCUCCCUGCGGGGGAGGGGCGUCUCCCCGAGGGACACAAAGCCUCGGGCCUGUCCCAGGCCCCCUCUGGGCCCCCUUCUGGCCCUGACUCUGCGAUCCCCUGAGGUCUCCCGAGGCAGCAGAGAGGAAGCGAGGGGGGAGGAGGGGAAACAGGAAGAGGAAGAGGAGGAGGGAAAGCAGAUGCAGAAGGGGGGAGAAGGAAGAGAAGGGGAAGGAGGAAGAGGAAAGGAAAAGGAAGAAGAGGAAAAAGGAGGAAGAGAAGGAAGAAGAGAAGGAGGAAGAAGCGGAGGAGAGGCCGGAUCUCAGCUCUCAAUCCCAAGAGCUCUCUGACUGCUCCCCCCAUUACCUUGGGGGGCAUCCCUUGUGCCAUCUUGGGAACCAGCCCAGAACAGGAGGAGAGUCGGCCUUGACCCGGGCAGGGUUGCUGUGCCCCCUCAGGCCGAGGCCCUCUCCCAGCCUUCAGCACCGCUUAACGCACCGUCCCCAUCUCUUAGUUCCGCUGCCCCGCUUUGGCCCUUGGGGGGCCACUCUGACCGGCCCGACGGAGGGCAGGGCGGGGGAGGAGAGCUCCCGGGACAAGGGCUCCGUCGGAUGAGCCGGCCCAGCCAGAGUGGCCUCCCCUCCGGGAGGAAGCGUUCCCUGCCCCCAAGGUCCCUGCCAGCCGGACACCCUGUGACCUCCCAUGCAUAAACCUCAGAAAAGCAAACGAGAGACAGCUCCUUGACGUUCAUGGUCUUGUUCCUCAAGUACAAGGUCAAGCGACUUCUGCCUCAGUUUCCUUGUCCGUGACCAGAGGAGCCUCGACGGCCACAGGAAGGACUGGGCGCAGCUCGUCUCCUCGGCCUCUCCAGGCAGAUUCCGGCCUCGGCGGGAGGAGUUUGAGCCCUUCCUGCCGAGCGAUCGUUCGUCCGGUCCGAGGAGCCCGCGGACGGCUGUUUCCCAGAUGGGAGGGCUGGUCGGAGUCUCUAGAGACCCCGCGAUGGAGCAGUGGGAGACUCGGGCUCCCGCUGACUGCUGUGGACGAGGGGGGAGCAGGGAGGGUUUGUUGGGAAAAGCAGGUGAGCAAUGGCGGGCUGGGUCAUUGUCCCAGCAUGGGUGGCCCCGGGCGCGCUGUCCCGGCUGGGCUGCGGGGGCCGUGCUGGGAACCCCGGCUUCUGGAGGUGGGCAGCGCGCGGCGGCUCCCGAUGGCCCUGGGUCUCCCCUGGGAAGCCAUCCUCGUCGCCCAGCCCCGGACCGGGGGCUUGGAUUCAUGGCAGGGCCACGUCACACAGACAGGCUGCUUCAGACCCAACUUUUUAAAUCAAAUUCGCUGGUUAAACGCCCCCCUUCUCCCCAGCGUGGGCCACCUUCGGUUUGAGGGCUCCCCCUUCCCACCGCGUGUAGACUUUGUCUCCGACCUCCCCCAUCCUCCAGGUCUGGAUCCAGCUCUCCCUGACCUUGGGCUCAGUGCCCCCCUCCACCGCACCCAGGACCCUCCCACCCAAAUCACGCCACCUCAUUUAUUCUCUGGCUUUGGGUGCAGUGCCAGGAACACAGUAAGUGCUUAAUAAAGGACUGAUGGCCCGACAGGCCUGCCCAGUGACCUCUCUGGAUCCUUUGCCUCCCGGAGAGUCAUUUCUGGGCCUAAUUUCAAAUAAUUAGUGCCAUGCCGGGAACCUCAGGGGAGCCCUGCCCACUGACAGUCUCUUACUCUGCAUCUUACACUGAGAAUCAGAACACAGCCGUGCUCAGAAGGGAGGCCCCGAGUUCUCCGAGAAGCCCCAAGUUCUCCGAGAGGCCCCGAGUUCUCCGAGAAGGGAAGCCCCGAGUUCUCCGAGAAGGGAAGCCCCGAGUUCUCCGAGAAGGGAAGCCCCGAGUUCUCUGAGAAGGGAAGCCCCGAGUUCUCCGAGAAGAGAAGCCCCGAGUUCUCCGAGAAGAAAAGCCCCGAGUUCUCCGAGAAGAGAAGCCCCGAGUUCUCCGAGAAGAGAAGCCCCGAGUUCUCCGAGAAGAAAAGCCCCGAGUUCUCUGAGAAGGGAAGCCCCGAGUUCUCUGAGAAGGGAAGCCCCGAGUUCUCCGAGAAGAGAAGCCCCGAGUUCUCCGAGAAGAAAAGCCCCGAGUUCUCCGAGAAGAAAAGCCCCGAGUUCUCCAGGAAGCCCCGAGUUCUCCGAGAAGGGAAGCCCCGAGUUCUCCGAGAAGGGAAGCCCCGAGUUCUCCGAGAAGCCCUGAGUUCUCUGAGAAGGGAAGCCCCGAGUUCUCUGAGAAGGGAAGCCCCGAGUUCUCCGAGAAGGGAAGCCCCGAGUUCUCCGAGAAGAGAAGCCCCGAGUUCUCCGAGAAGGGAAGCCCCGAGUUCUCCGAGAAGGGAAGCCCCGAGUUCUCCGAGAAGGGAAGCCCCGAGUUCUCCGAGAAGCCCCGAGUUCUCUGAGAAGGGAAGCCCCGAGUUCUCCGAGAAGGGAAGCCCCGAGUUCUCCGAGAAGCCCCGAGUUCUCCGAGAAG